CAGCAUUUGAACUAUCUUUUCUUGUAUAAUGGACAUCGUAAGAGUUGUCUAAAGCCCUGCCAUUCAUGGUGACUUCAAAUACUAUGCUAAAAGUCCUUUUUAUGGACUGUUUUGAACACAGAUCAUCCACAUACUUCAUUCAAAUCCAGCCAUCGCUUUUCCUUGAGUUUACAGGUAAUAUAUAUUUUUUAUUUAGAACUAUAAUUAAGUUGUUUACAUGUAACGUUAAAAUAGUUUAUUGUCU